UGUGUUUGUGCGAACUCUGACCUGACCUAGGGUUUGGCUGGUCGCCGGAUCCAGAUCCCACCUCCUAGGGGGCCGCCUCCGACUAGCAAGUUUGGCGCUGGGAACCCUAGGAGCAGAGUAGGGAUCGAGCCAGUGUUGUGUUGCGUAUCACACCAUUUGGGAAUCUGAGACUUGGUGGUGAUCGUUGGCUGUUUUGGCUGCGGAAUUUCGCGUCAUUACUCCGGGGAUCACCACCGUCUACAUCAGUGGCGGAGCUUAAACUAUGAAUUGAUCCACCAUCGUUCGUGCUGACCCGUGCCUCUGAGCAGUCAGUCCUCCGCCUCACGGGGCCAGCCCUCCUGUCCUUGCUGCAAUGCCAGGCCACUGGCAUGGAGGCCGAGUUCAGGCAGCUGCUGUGGCGCUUGCGGUGCCAAGGGCUUUGGGGACCAUGGGGUAGAGGCUGCCUUCCAGUCGCUCCUCCUCCUCCUCCUCCUCUCUCUCUCUCUCUCUCUCUCUCUCUCAGUGCAGCCUAGCAAACACGCCCUUAGUCUCUGAGCAUCUAUGAACCUUUGAAUCAAAGAGGACCUUAAGGUUGCUGCUGCUGCUACUGUUGUUGUUGCGGCGAUUUACACAAAAAUAACCCUUUUGGAAGUUGGGAUCGGCGGUGAUGAGGCCUGGUCGUGCUGACCGGUGCCUCUUAGCAGUCAGUCCUCCGCCUAAUGGGGCCAGCCUUCCUCUCCAUGCUGCAAUGCUAGGCCACUGGUAUGGAGGCCGAGUUCAGGCAGCCGCUGUGGCGUUUGCGGCGGUGGCAGGGGCUUUGGGGACCAUGGGGUGGAGUCUGGCUUCCAGUUGCUGCUCUCUCUCUCUCUCUCUCUCAAAUUCCUCUAAAUAUCAGUGCAGCCUACCAAACGCGCCCUUAGUCUCUGAGCAUCUAUGAUGCAUGACCUACUUGGUUGUGAAUCUGGACUGUAAGAGAUGCUGCUAGCUACUCCCUUCGUUCCAUUAUAAGCUUCUUUACAUGAGCAAGCCCUAACCAGAUGGAGGGUCUGAUCGAUCGCUGGUUCUAGAUCCCUCCUCUAAGGGCGCCGCCUACAACAAGCAGUUGGGGGCUGGGAACCCUCAGGGAAUAGAGAUGGACCUGUGAUGCAUGGAAUCCAGUGGAGCAUUUUAGGCAGCCAGCGUAUGUCCAAAUGACACUUUGCUCUAAUAAUCAAGAAACAGAAUCCUUAUGAGGGGCAGUGAUGAUUGACCAUUGCUGAUAUAAGCACCUUGAGCAAUUGAGGUGUGUGUGGGUAUCAAAUUAGACCCCCCUCUUCUCCCGGAGCUGUUUUGAUCAUGUGCUUAUUUUGGUGGCUCUGUCCUUGGAUGGUCAUUCUUGUCAGUGAUAACCAGGGCAGAUUCACUAAAGUAGAGACCAGAUUGAUCUGGUGAUGGGAGACGAUAGGGGUAGGGUUGCAUGAUCGAGGAAAGGCGAAUCUGAGCCCAACUUAAAUGCAGUUAUACUGGUUCCAAGCAAGAUGUGCAACAAUCAAUAUACUCUUAUAUUGGUUGUUUUAACAUCUGAUAUUAUGGUACAUAGGGAGUAUGUUGUUUUGGCUCUGUAUCCAUGUUCAUGGCUUCUUUGGUUCACAGGAUUUUAAAAAUACAUGGAGAUCGGAUUACAUUGUCAUGCAUCUUUUUAUUAUGUUGGUCAAGCUUGAGGGCGAUGAUGAUUGACUUUGGCUGAAAUAAGCGUGCCUGUGAGCAAUCAAGUCACCUGUGGGUAUCAAAUUAGAUCCUCCCUUGCAUUUCUCUGAUCCUUUUUGAUCCUGUGAACUGCUGGUUCUGUCCUUGGACGGUCAUUCUAGUUGAGUGAUAACCAGGGCAGCUCCAAGGUUAAAACAGGUUCAUCUGGUGAUAAGAGAUGAUGGGGCUAGGGUUAUAUGAUCGAGCAAAGGCGAAUCUGAGCCCACUCAAAUGCAAUUUUACUGGUCUAUAAGCAUGAUGUGCUGCACAGUUUCCUUAAACAUUCGUGUUUGGAGGUUUUGCUUAUUUAUGCUCCAGUGUUUAUAGCUGUCUUUUGCAAGGUUUUCUGCGUUUUCACCUUUAUUGCAUAAAUUGUUGGUCUUUGAUUCACUAACUUUAUGUUCUUAAUCUCGUUCCCACCUUAUUUUUUAUUUUUGGUAUAUAUUGGGUGCAAUUUUUCUUUGAUUUCACCUUGCAAUUUUCGUGGCCCAGGACACACAGUUCUCUUUGUUUGCCCACUUUCCCUGUUUCAAUGUGUGCCUCUUCUUUGAUUUCGCCUUGCAAAUUUCGUGGCCCAAAGCACGCAAUACUUUGUGGUUGCACACUUGCACAUGGAUGGACUCAAAUUCUGGUGAUGCCUGAUGUUGUUCUAUCAUGUAUUAUAGAUGGUAUACCUUGGAGCGAGCUAAGGCAACAUGGAAGCUUGUUCAAGCCAUGCUAGUGUUUGUCAUGUUGCAAUUCGAUGGUUAAUCUGGUAACAAGUGCAACCUGCUUGUCAUGUACUGAUGCAACUGAGAGUGCAUGACAAACAGAUUUUUGGCAGAGCUUCACGCUUACAUGGUCCAAACAUUGUCUUUGAAACUAGGUCCUGUAUUUGCAUUCUUGCUACUCUGAGAAUCUAAUGGCAUUAUCUUGUUAAGUAUGCUGCUCUUGGUUAUAAAAAUAUUUUGUUUGUGAAAACUACAGCGUUUUCUCCUGUUGCCAAAUACUAAUGUUAUUAUUUCUAAAAUAUUGAUCUGAAUGGCUUGUUUCUUCAAACUGUUCGGUGGCAAUCCCAAAGUUAUUUCUCUGAUGAUGACCAACAUUGCCCCUAUCCACAUUCACAUAAAUUUAGGAUUGAUUUUUUCUCUCUUAAUUCUAAGUCAAAGUUCUGUUCAUUGGUUAUGUAUGCAGAUUACUGUGCAGUUCUAAAACCGACAUUUAGAUGGCUAUCUUUAACCUUUGUGUGGUUCUAGGUCAAAGGAUGCAAUCAAUGAGAAUUUGAGAGCACCUGCGGAUGCCUUUUAGGUUUUAAGCGGUGCAUGGAAAUUCUUAGCUUUAUAGAUGUUGUAACUUUGUUAUCUUUGUGGGUCACCUGUUUGAUUAAGCCAAAAAAAUUCAGCCCGAUUCUGGGAACCAGCACCUCGUGAAGGAGGCACAAGUCCCCUGAAUGCCAGUUGCGAGAACGCCCGAAAGGGGUAUCUGCCUGGUAGUGCUACAAGGUUGGUAUGGGAAUUUCCAUGGCCCAACCGUAAAGGAUCGGGCUCGGAGAUGAGCCUGGGUCCGUUUAGCCUGUGGUUCCCGCUAAGCGAGGCCUAUUCUCCCCUGGUCAAAACUCCAGGGGUGAACCGGGAAAAUAUUGAAAUGCCUGGUUAACACUUGCGCUCAUGGUAGUGCUAAAAUAUUGAUCUGAAUGAUUACUGUUUUCUCGCCUUAUGUAUGUUGUGCUGCUUAACAAACGUUUAAUGUUCAGUAUAUCAAAAUAAUUCCUUCGUCCAUAGAAUUUUCUCUACCUGAAUAACAUUUGUUCUGAUCACAAAUCUGGUCCUACUGGAGUAAGUAUGAGUGAUAUUUUUGAUAGUUUGUGUACUUCUUCUCCCUUCUGCUAGAGUAUAUAGUAAAUGGUUUUCCUUUCUGCUUACAAUUAUAUUGAGUUCUGUAUGUAUUCAAUUGCCUAGUAUGAUAGGGUAUAACCAAUAUUGCUGUUUCCUGAUGUUCUGCAACCUUCAGGUUCCUCUUUGCUUUUGGGCACUAUUUGGUUACCUUGUCAAUUUUUUUGGUGCUUUACAUUUCAGGUAAAGUGCAGGCAGAUCAUGUUGUUUUGCUAUUUGAUCUUUCCGUUUUUCUUUCCGUGUUUUAAUAAUAUUGCUGCUGGUGGAAGCUAUCAACGAAGUUUGGUUCCUUGGUAUUCUGUAAGUUGCUACACUAAUGUUUCAUCCUUUGCUAUUUGAAUUCGAUAAUUUGAUGCUUCUGUUUGACCCUUUAUUUGCUCAGUCCUUUCUACUCUCCUGUGAUCUUUUAUUGAUUCUGACCUAAAGGUCAUGUUGUGCAAGAUCAGAUUUCUGGGUCACUUCUAUCCUUUCUGAAUGGCUGCGAUGAUUUAGCUGCCCUUGCUGAGCUUUGAACACCAUGUAAAUUGGUAACUUGCUUUAUUCAGUUUGCUUCUAAACUAGGAGGGCUUGUUCCGAAGCAAGUAACCAGCUUAGCAGCUACUCCAUUUUAUUUUGGACGGAGGGAGUACUUAUAUAGAUAUUGGAUGACAUUCCAAUUUACAGUAUAUGGAGUGACAGAGAGGAGAUAAAUGGUGUUUCUAUCAAGUUAAGCUAAUCUAUGGGAGUGUAUCUGAGCCAUCUGUAUAUGUCACUAUUUUUAUGUCCACCUUUAUUUGAAACUAUGCCCUUUUCAUUUUUUUUUUCUUCUGCAUUUUAUCUGCUUGAGCUGAAGUGAAUUUUUUCUUUCGCAAGGAAUCGUAACAUUUUGACUUGUUCUAUUCCCUCCGUUCCAUAUUAGUCAACUAAUAUGUGAGGGAGGGAGUAAUUUGUUCUACCACUUCAUUUUAAUUCUUUUCGAGCUUUUAUCAUUUGUGUCAAUCAUGAGUUUAGCUCAUUCAGAGGCGCAUUCAAAAGGUUGAAUUCCAAAUGCUAUCCUUUGGUGUUGGUUGCAUGCUGUAAUCUAUAGUAGUAAAGUAUCUAUCUUGGCUCUACAUAGAUGCUCUCUGAUGUACUCCAAGUAAACUAUUUGUAUGCUGGAAAAUGAUAAUAGUACUGUACUUUGACAUACUUCUAGAGUCCCGGUGCCUGGUAUGAUUAUUGAGCCAAAAGCAUGUCUCGCAUUCUUUUGCUGCCCACAUUCUUUAUUCUGACAAUUUAUGGUCAUUGGUUACCUUGCUUGCUUCCAUACAAGGCCUUGGGAUUCCUAAUUCCAUUCUUGCUGUUGCUUCUAAUUCCACCCUUCAUGCUGUGCUAACUCACAUUGUCCGGUAGGUCUAGGUUCUUUGCAGCUGCCAUGGCGGGUGAUGGAUGGGUGUGGUUUGCCGUGCGUUUCACGGGUUUAGACGAUGCCAGAUCAUAGCUGCCCUAUUCUCAUCAUUCGUAAUCAUGUCAGCUCUCUUUUCACAUUCUCUACAUAUUCUGUGCCGGUUUCUCUGUUACUCCUUUUACUUGUUGUUUUGUGCUAAGUUGGCGAUGAUGAAUUUGGCUCAUUCAGAGGUUCAUACAGAAUACUAAGAACAGAUAGCAAUGAUUGAUUUCAUGGGUAUGGUUUGGGGUUAGGGUUUUGAUGUGACUAGUUGGAAGCGUGCAGAUUGGGACGGUUUGCUUUCCCAGCAACCAUUUGAAUGCUGAAAAUGUCACAUCUUUGUGUAAAUGGAUCGGAUACAAGGUGGAUAUCAACAGCGCUCACCUCUUUUGAUUCGCUUGUGCAUAGAGCGCAACUUGUCUUAUGAUCGAUGAGCCAACACUGAGCCUCUGAUAAUAAAUAUGAUUUCUCCUUUUUGGCAUUUUGUGGCUGCCUUGUACGUUUUUAUAAUUUCUAUUAGCUUCUUUUGAAUUUGUUAGUAACGUACUUCUGUGAAUCUCACAUUUUUUAUGCUCAUCUGAUGUAGUGCUAUUAUUUACAGUACUUCUGUGAUAUGCUUGAGUGAACUGGUUGAUGAGAAAUCCCUUGAAACCCUGCACAGCUAUUCUCCUCAUCGUUGUUAUUGCCAAGCUAUAUUGUUUGUUUUCGUUCAUGUUCAAGAUUCGAGUUUCCUGCACAAACGCUUGGGUGGUCUGCAUGUUUCACAACUGCACCUACGGGAGAGCAUCAGACUUGGUGAAUGUAACUGAUUUUCUUUGUUUUUUCUGAACCUCAUUUGUUGUGCUCUUUUAACCUUUUUCUAGUGUAUCUUGUUUUUUUAGGGGAAACUAGGCUAUUUGCUUUUUUUGUUCUUUCGUAGUAUCUUGCGUUCUGUUGAUUUGUGGUAUGUGGCUGUUAUUAUCUAUUGGCCAUGAAUCUUCUGUCAGCUAUUAGCAACAGGAUAGGCUGUACUGGCCUGGCUAGUGAGUGAAACCUCGGUUUCUGGCAUGUUUCGACUUGGUACUCUGACCUAUCUAGCCAUCUUGCUCGCUGUGGGUUCGUGUGUUUGCUUGUGUGUUUGUCGAACUCUGGGGCAGACUAUGGAUUUGGCUGGUCGCCACCUCCCAUGAGCACUUGGGCACUGGGAACCGUAGGGAUGGACCCAGCAAUGUGUCACACCCUUUGGAACCCCUUGGAGUCUCUUUGGAAUCAUGGAGACUCGGUGGUGAUCGAUGGCUGUUUUGUCCAGAAUUUUGCUUCAGUACGCUGGGAAUCACCAGUUUCACAUCGGUGGCUGAGCUUGAACCAACAAUUGACCCACCGUCAUCUGUCAUCAUCAUUGGUUCCAGAUCCCUCCUCUAAGGGUGCCGCCUCCACCGGUCAGUUGGGCGCUGGAACUGUCAGGGGUGGAGAAGGACCCGGCAAUCAAAUCCAGGGGUAGCUUUCAUGAUUGAGCAAAGGCGAAUCUGAGCCCAGCUCAAAUGCAGUUAUACUGGUCGCUGACUAACAUUUUAUAUUAUGGUUUGGUUCUGUAUCUGUGUUCAGGGCUUCUUUGAUUCACAGGAUUUUAAAAAUGCAUGGAGCUCGGAUUACAUUGUCGUGCAUCCUUUUUAUUAUGGUGGUCAAGCUUGAGGGUGAUGAUGAUUGACUUAGGCUGAAAUAAGUGUGCCUUUGAGCAAUCGAGUCACCUGUGGGUAUCAAGUUGGAUCCUCCCUCAUCUCUAUUAUCCUUUUUGAUCCUGCGAACUUCUGGUUCUGUCCUUGGACGGUCAUUCCUGUUGAGUGAUAACCUUGGCAGGCUCCACAGUAAAAACGGGUUCAUCCUGUGAUAAGAGAUGAUGAGGUUAGGUUAUAUGAUCGAGCAAAGGUGAAUCUGAGCCCACUCAUGCAAUUUUUACUGGUCUAUAACAAUAUUGUGCUACACAAUUUCUUUAAUCAUUUGUAUUUGAAGGCAUUGCUUAUUUGUGCACCAAUAUUUCUAGCUGGUUAGCUGUAUUCACAAGGUUUUUCUUUUAUUUGA